GCACAAAGUAAUACCUCCAGGCACAUGGUAGAUUCUCCGGAAGCUGGGUAUUGAAUGAACGCAAUCAUGACUGAUAAGGGUCCAGCUGAAGGCUCCGGCUGAUGGCUCCGGCAAAGCCUCUCCCAGGCAUGGUAACUUCUGCUGCCAGAAAAUACCCUGGAACUGCUACAACUGUCCCUAAGAACCCUGAGCUCAUGAGCGCCAAGGCCCGGAUGAGUCCAGCUGAGCAUCCUUCCACGGUGUCCAUCUGUCCAGGAGCAGUGGUCCCAGGCUGCCCGAACUGAACAGCGGGACGGCGCCCCCUCCACCCCACCAUCUUCUUGCCUCUUUCCACCAGCUUGUCAGCAGGCAAUUUCCCACAUGCAGAGGUGCCCUGGCCUUGGGAAAAUCUGGUCCCUUCAGCUCUGGAGGUGGGGGGAUUGUAGCCACAACCCUUGGGGCCACUGGGGAGGUUUGUCAGAUUCUUGACAAACUCUGAACAAGCAGUUGGAGCUCAGUUAUUUUUUUCGUUUGUUUUGUUUUGUUUUUUUCCAGUACCAGGGAUCCAACUGGGGACCUUGCAUUUGCGAGGCAGGUGGCAGUACCACUGAGCUAAAUCCCCAGCCCUUGGAGCUCAGCUGUUUGAAGGCCUUAUUCCCAUGCCCUGUAUGGGAUCUUGAACCCAAGGCCUUUGUACUGAAGUGCAUUUUCAGCCCUUUUUUUUUACUUUUUAUUUUGAGGUCUCACUAAACCACCCAAUAAUCCUGGCUGAGCUCAAAUUUGUGAUCUUCCUGCCUCCACCUCCUGGUGAAGGCCCCUUCCAAAUAUGACGCACUUGAUGGCUCUCUGCCCCCAGCCUUGGGAGCUCUUAGCCAACUCCAGAGAAACAG